GUGCUCUCUUUGGCAGCGCAUACACUAAAAUUGCAACACUGCAAAAAUGAAUAGCAUGGCCCCUGCACAAGGAUAACAUGCAAAUUUGUGAAGCAUUCCAUGUCUUU
ensembl:snRNA U6 U6 spliceosomal RNA